rnacentral:rRNA from 1 species
UGGGGAAUAUUGCACAAUGGAGGGAACUCUGAUGCAGCAACGCCGCGUGCGGGAUGACGGCCUUCGGGUUGUAAACCGCUUUCAGCCAUGACGAAGCUUUUGUGACGGUAGUGGUAGAAGAAGCACCGGCUAACUACGUGCCAGCAGCCGCGGUGAUACGUAGGGUGCGAGCGUUGUCCGGAAUUAUUGGGCGUAAAGAGCUUGUAGGCGGUUUGUCGCGUCGAUAGUGUAAACACGCAGCUUAACUGUGUGCCUGCUGUCGAUACGGGCUGACUAGAGGAGGGUAGGGGAGAAGGGAAUUCCCGGUGGAGCGGUGGAAUGCGCAGAUAUCGGGAGGCACACCAGUGGCGAAGGCGGUUCUCUGGACCUUUCCUGACGCUGAGAAGCGAAAGCGUGGGUAGCAAACAGG